AAGUCAGAUGUGAAAGCCUCCUGUUCAACGGGAGAAUUGCAUCUGAAACUGCAGAUCUUGAGUGUAGGAGGGGAGAAUGGAACUUCUGGUGGAGCGGUGAAAUGCGUAGAUAUCAGAAGGAACGCCGGCGGCGAAAGCGAUUCUCUGGCCUAUUACUGACACUCAGUGUGCGAAAGCUAGGGGAGCAAAUGGGAUUAGAUACCCCGGUAGUCCUAGCCGUAAACGAUGGGCACUAAGUAGAGGGAAUUACCGAUAUUCUCUCUGCCGUAGCUAACGCAUUAAGUGCCCCGCCUGGGGAGUACGGCCGCAAGGCUAAAACUCAAAAGAAUUGACGGGGGCUCGCGCAAGCGGUGGAGCAUGUGGCUUAAUUCGAUGCAACGCGAAGAACCUUACCGGGGCUUGACAUGGUAGAAGUAGGAACCCGAAAGGGUAACGAACGGUAUCCAGUCCGUAGCUAUUACAGGUGUUGCAUGGCUGUCGUCAGCUCGUGUCGUGAGACGUUGGGUUAAGUCCCCUAACGAGCGAAACCCUUGUUUUUAGUUGCCAGCGGGUUAUGCCGGGCACUCUAGAAAGACUGCCGUCGUCAAGACGGAGGAAGGUGGGGAUGACGUCAAGUCAUCAUGGCCCUUAUGCCCCGGGCCGCACACGUGCUACAAUGGUCGGUACAAACGGAAGCGAAG
rnacentral:rRNA from 1 species